rnacentral:lncRNA from 1 species
CAGGUCUUGACGUAGAUACAGAUACGAGACACACCCAGAUGAUGUCACAAGCAGCUAUAUGUAAACAGAGCAGAGCUCAGGUGACAUCACAGAACAGGCAGAGGCCGUUCAGGGGGUAUUCUGGUUGCCUUACCCAGCUCUGAAGUCUGUCAGCCUCUUCAGAUGUCACUUGCCCUGUGGUAAGGAAGUGUAGUUGGCAGCUGGUGCAGUGGCAAGAAGAGAAAGGAAGUUCCCCAAGACAGAAACAUCUCGGCAGGUUUGGAAUAGUUCACCAGUGAAGUCAUCUCAACCAGCACAGGGCCUUGACUCCUAACAACAAUCACACGAACUUGGAAGAGGAUCCUUCCCCAGCUGAAACUUCACUUGAGACCUUCUCAUUGGCCAUCAUCGACAUCUGGAUUCAUGAUACAGAGAAACUUGAGUAAUGAUGACAAUAGCAGUCCAGCCUGCAUGGAUGCUGACAUGGAUGCUGUCUCCCAUUCUUACCACUGGAUGUCAAGAACUGCUAGAUGCGAUCCAGCCAGUCUGUACUCGACUCUCAGUUCCAUCUUCUCAACUCACAGUGUCUUCCAAAGUCCAUGCCACACCACAGCCUGGAAGAUCUCCCAAGGUGGUAUCUUGAGGCAAUGGUAGAGCUCAUGUCACAGUAUUGUAUGCCUCAGGCUUUGAAUAACUCACCAGUGAAGUCAUCUUGACCUGGACAGAAAUUGAAUCCUCCCAAGAAUCCCAGGAGCUUGGAAGGGGAUCCUUCCCCAGAUGAGCCUUCCCUUGAAAUCUCUGCCAGGCAUCUGACCCAGAGAAACU